AAGAGAUAUAGAAAGUGAACCAUGUUUUGGUUUGUAUUUUUAAUUUGUGAAUGGUAUCUCAUUCAAUUCUCACAAACUAAAAGUAUUUUCACUUUAUAGGUCAGAAAACAAGGCUGAGAAAAGUCAAGUAAUUCACCCAAGGCCACACUGAUGUUAUGUGGAUUUGAAGGAUUUGGACCCAGAAUUCAUAGGAGUCAGCUACAGUGAGAUACUUCUUACAGAAUGGAGAAGAAAUGAAUGACAGAUAGUUGGAGAAAAGAAUGGCUGAGAAGGAGAAGGUGAGAGAAUGUGUGGGAAUGAGAAAUAAACAAAGCUCUGAUCAAUAAGAAGCUCACCUCCACGAGAGUUUGGUCUCUUUUCUGCAGGAUACUGGUGGUGUCUGCCCAGGAGAAUUCAUUUCCAGGAGGCGUCUGGCAUCCAGAAGUCCUAGAGGGGAAAGGAAGGAGUUUCCCCUGACUGUAAGAGGAAAGCUUGGAUGACUUCCAGUGGUUCUUAUUCAAUCUAAGAAAAUCGGAACUUUGCAGAUGACAAUGACUGGAAGAGACCCUCAAACCUGUUCUAAGCCAGCCCUCAAGUGAGAGCCCACAGACAGGCCUGGUUUGGCUCAGGCGUGUUGAAUAAUUCUGAGCUAACAUAUACAAAUUUGACUUAAAAAUCAGAUGCAUGAUGUAAUUUGCUAUUGGAUAUUCACGAAGUUGUAAAGCUCAGAGCAGUAUGUAGGUGAGUACACCCACAUUUCAGUUACAAGACACUCCAAUAAUGAGAUUACAAUAGUACCAGUCACAAAAGGCCUGAACCUGUUUUAUCUACCUUUCUAGCCUCUGCUAGAUCCACUGAGAUCACUUCAGCUUCUAAGAGCCAGCCUCUAGGGAAGAGAGAAGCAGCUGGAAGAGGUAGUGACCAGUCAGACCUAAGCUAGCAGGUGAGUUGAAGUUUUGAAUUAUAUUUGGGAUUCAAGUUUUGAUUUAAAUGAUAACAUUUUUUCAUACCUAAAAGGAAGUUGUAAUUCUGAAAUGGAACGUUCCUAUUCU
rnacentral:lncRNA from 12 species